rnacentral:rRNA from 1 species
UACGAACCGUGCAAACGUUGUUCGGAAUCACUGGGCUUAAAGGGCGCGUAGGCGGACUCGCCAGUCUGUGGUGAAAGCCCCCAGCUUAACUGGGGAAGUGCCAUGGAUACUGCGAGUCUGGAGGAGGGUAGGGGCAUCUGGAACGCUGGGUGGAGCGGUGAAAUGCGUUGAUAUCCAGCGGAACUCCGGUGGCGAAGGCGAGGUGCUGGACCCUUUCUGACGCUGAUGCGCGAAAGCCAGGGGAGCAAACGGG